rnacentral:rRNA from 1 species
AUUGAACGCUGGCGGCAGGCCUAACACAUGCAAGUCGAGCGGAUGAAGAGAGCUUGCUCUCUGAUUUAGCGGCGGACGGGUGAGUAAUGCCUAGGAAUCUGCCUGGUAGUGGGGGAUAACGUUCCGAAAGGAACGCUAAUACCGCAUACGUCCUACGGGAGAAAGCAGGGGACCUUCGGGCCUUGCGCUAUCAGAUGAGCCUAGGUCGGAUUAGCUAGUUGGUGAGGUAAUGGCUCACCAAGGCGACGAUCCGUAACUGGUCUGAGAGGAUGAUCAGUCACACUGGAACUGAGACACGGGCCAGACUCCUACGGGAGGCAGCAGUGGGGAAUAUUGGACAAUGGGCGAAAGCCUGAUCCAGCCAUGCCGCGUGUGUGAAGAAGGUCUUCGGAUUGUAAAGCACUUUAAGUUGGGAGGAAGGGCAGUAAGUUAAUACCUUGCUGUUUUGACGUUACCGACGGAAUAAGCACCGGCUAACUUCGUGCCAGCAGCCGCAGUAAUAC